UCUGUUAUAGGUAUUUGUCUUCUGAUUCUACAUUUGCUACUCCUGUAUUUUGGCACAUAAGGAAGUCAAAUCACACCAGCCCAAUAACUUCUCUGAUGGUUUGGUAUGUUCCCUCAGCUUUUGGUGAAGAACAUCUGACAGAGGGAAGACUUGUCUGAUUAUUACUGUUGCCAGACAAAAUCCAAGCAACCUUUAAGGACCAAUUUCAGAGAGACUUCUGCCUUAGGCUUGAGGCAUGAGGAGAAUAAUGUUCUGGCUUCUUCUACAUUGACAUAGUUUUCUUGAAACUUCUGGCCUCCAGAUGUGAUGGACCUCAACUUCUAUCACUCAUGUCAGUCUAUCAAGAAUUAUGGUGACUGUAAAGCAAGAGACAGAACCUUCUGACUAAUUAUAUUAUUGUUCUAAUGUGUUAUAAGCUAUCUCAGAAAUCAAUGGGAGAAACAGCAAGAAAGAAGAUCUUAAAAUCAAAAGGCUUCUUUUCAAAGAAAUAGCACAAAAAAUUAGAUUACAAUAUGUUUGCCUCCGAGAUGCUGACUUUUUGGUGUAUCUUGAGCUUGUCUACUAUUUGAAUCAUUCUGCAUUUUUCCCUUUUUAUUCUAGCCUUGCUGUGA